AGAACUUUCCAGAAUGUGAAGCCUCAGAGGGGAUUCUAGAGAGGUAGACAUUAAGGCCAGGCCUCUGGCCUUCUGGUGGUCAGGUAAGCUAGCUCUUCAAGGCACUCUCACCGUCUGCUCCACGCGCUGCAAAUCCGCAGGAGCCCCUGCACCUCAUAUUCUCCGAGCUCAGACCUUGCAGAACACUGGGCCUCCUUCCUCGUUCCAGUCUGCCUGGCUUUGUACCCUGAAGCGCUGUGCGUGUACCCUGACGUGGUGUGUUCGUUCUCCUACAGGUUGACUAUCUCCUCCUAUACCUUUGACCUCUGCACAACCAGCUGACCACGAACUGAACUCCAGACAGAGCCAAGUUAAAUCUUUAUCCCUCCUGUAGAUGGUUUGCUUGGUACUUGUCACAGGGACCAAAGCCCUGCUCUGCUCUGCAUGCGUGUGAGAGCAACCAUUGCAUGUAGAAACGUGUUUCAUCCUCAGGGCUGCUCUAAAGGCAAAGCACGGGCUUUACUAUUGGAGACUCAGAAAGGUUUGGUAAUUUGCCUGAUGUCACACAGCCGUUGACGGCUGUACAUUGACAAAACCAGGAUUUUUUUUUUUUUUUUUUUUUUGAGUCUCUGUUAACUUGGCACAUGCUCAGUGUUCUUAGAUGGCAUUCUUUUGCUUUCCUCCCUCGCUUUCAUGAGGCUGAGUCACCACUUCCUCAGGAAAUCUUAAUAUAAAGCCGUGGAAACUGAGGGCCGGCCAGUUCAACCCUCCCUCGGCGUUUUCAGAUGAGGAAAUGCAACUGCAGACCCCGGUUAGCAGCACCUGCCUACAGCGCCAGCACCAGUGAUGGGGAGGCAGAGGCAGCAGGAUCACUGGGAGUUCCGGGCUAGCCUGAGCUACACAGCGAAGCCACGUAGAAAACAACAAAUCAAAACACAGCAAACAAAAACCCUGCAGGGUGUGUGCCCAGUGGCUUCGCAGCUCUGUCCGCAGGCUCCUCCACAUUUAGCAGGAACAUCGGACUCCAUCUUCAGCUCCGAAUCCUUCUGACCGGUUUGAAAAAGAAACGUCCCCCUUUGGCGCCCAUUUCCAGUCUGUCGCACUGCACUGCAGAGACUUAACUGGAAUGAGCUGCUUCUCCACGCUGCAGCCCCAAGGAGCCCGAGGCCAUAUCCUGCCAGAGCUACAACAGGCUGCAACGAGGCCCUGCACUUCUCUCCAUCUUCCCUGUUACUGCAGUUGUUGCUUUUGCGACCAUUUCCUGUAGCCCAGGCUGGCCUAAAAUACCCUGGCCAAUCAAGGAUAAUCUUGAAGCUGAUCCUUCUCCCACCUUCCAAAGUGACAGGAUUAUAGACGCAGAGUGCCCAACCGUUUGUCUUUUAUUUAAAUGGAGCUGGGGAUUUAACCUGGGGUUCCCCCCCUUCCCCGCCCCGUGGCCCAGGCAAAUGCGUGCAGGAACACACCCUCGCUCCUCCCCCUCUUCCUGUUUUAUCUUGCCGCCUAACCUCUUUGCUUCUGAGACUUGAAUAGCACUGUCUUGAGUGUCAGCCUAGCAAAAAAAUUCAACCCUUCCCAGAGGAGGAGUCUGAGCUAAGACUGUCGACAGGUACCUGGUCUUUCCCCCAGAUGAAACAAAAUAGCCCGAACUCAUGCCUUCAUUAUACUAUGAUCUCAAUAAAUUCCUCUGUGUAAUCUUA